GGAUUAGGCAUGCAAGUCGAACGGGAAGCUUCGAUUUCAAUUUUCGGAAAGAAUUCGAGGUGGAGAGUGGCGAAAGGGUGAGUAACGCGUGAGUAAUCUGCCUCAAAGUCUGGGAUAACCCCGCGAAAGUGGAGCUAAUACCGGAUGUGGUGUCUUGUCGCAUGGCAAGAUUACUAAAGGUGGGGAUCCUUCGGGACCUGCUGCUUUGAGAGGAACUCGCGUCCCAUCAGCUAGUUGGUAGGGUAAUGGCCUACCAAGGCAUACGGGUAGCCGGCCUGAGAGGGUGAUCGGCCACACUGGGACUGAGACACUGCCCAGACUCCUACGGGAGGCUGCAGUCGAGGAUCAUUCGCAAUGCCCGAAAGG
rnacentral:rRNA from 1 species